UUAAGUUCAGCGGGUAUCCCUACCUGAUCCGAGGUCAUAUUGGUGACAAUUGUGAUCGCAGGGACCACCAGGCAUGCCGUAGCGAAUGUUACAUGUACUACGCUCGGUACCUGGCAGCACCGCCACUGCUUUUGGAGCACCCGGCGGAACCGGGACGCUCAAGACACGCUACGCGUGAGGGUUGAGGUGACGCUCGAACA
rnacentral:misc_RNA from 1 species